UGUAUUCUUAAUAGUGUCCCUUGCAACACCUCUCUCUGACACGAAAUGGCGGGCUCUGAUGCACUAGUACUAUCCAUCAACGGUUGCUAGUAUUUCCAUAAGAGAGGUGGAGGGGGUAAGGGAAAGACCGAACGUCAUUGAUUCGUAUAUCCAGUUAUGAUUUAUCUUUGCCCUUUAUCUAAGAAUUCUCACAACCUACACCCCCUUCACGUGUCGACCUCCAGGUACAAAACUGCAGCCCUCACCUUUCUUGGAGAUAGCAAGUCCUGAAAGUCGAAGUUUGUUUUCGUCUUUCAUUUUUCACGGAUGAUUCUUCGUGUUCAUUCUUUCAGCGAGGUCUUGAAAAACGGUAUACUUGUUGUGUAUUUGAAGGACAAA
rnacentral:sRNA from 1 species